AUUUGCCUUGGUCUAUUCCUUUUGUCAGCCAUCUUGGCAAAUGCAUACGCCUUGACUUGGGGCUUUAGGAACCUUAUCUAAUUCCUUUUCAAAUCCUCCAUGUGUAUGGGGAUCCUUGGAUGUUAAGGUAUGGUGUAAACAAAUUUACACUCCUUUGCCGAUAUCAUAUCACUUUAUGUAGAGCCUUCUAGGCUUGCACCAGAAAAAUAAGGGCU
rnacentral:lncRNA from 1 species